GUUUAUCUUCAGGGGCAGGGUGAAAUUCCCGACCGGCGGUAAUAGGCCGCGACCUGCGCAAUUGUGCAGUUGAACUGGUGUGAUUCCAGUGCCGACAGUAUAGUCUGGAUAAAGAAGAUAGAG
rnacentral:ncRNA from 2 species